AAUCCACGAUUAAUUUUACUUAUUUUAUUUAAUUCAUAUAUCGCUGUCAUGAAUAUAUUUAAAAAUUUAUUUUCUUUAAUUAUUUUAAUAAUUUAUGUUAAGUCAAGAUGUGGUUUAUAAAUAAGAAUAUAAUGGGUUACAUUAAAUUUUAUUUUUGGAUUUAAAAUGAAAAUUAAAAUGAAAUUGGAUUUAAUAGUAAGUUUAAUUAAUUUAUUAGUAUGAAUAAAGAUCUAAAUU
rnacentral:rRNA from 1 species